rnacentral:lncRNA from 1 species
CAGUCAGUCAGUGUGUCUGUAUGAACCCCUCUCUCUCUCAGGCGGGAGUAUGAAGAGUCCAUGAUGGUGCGUCUGAACGUAUCACGAAAGGACCGCGUCUCAAAGAAGAGGAGCAUGAUGGGAAUGUCAGCGCAGCUGAACUCGAUCACUCAUUUUGGUGACAUCAGCGCACUGACCGGUGAAGCACAGGGCCUGGGGAAUCCUCGCCCAAAGAAGAAAAAGAGGCUGCUGAAGAAAAAGAACAAUAGAGGUUUCCGACGGCACCGGUAGGACGGGGAAGCUGCCAGUCUGAAGAGCCUGUCCCGGGAGCGAGGCGGUGGGAAUACUGGGCCGUGCCCGAGCGUUUCUCGCGCCCCGUUUCUCGGGGGUUGAAGUUUCUUUGGGCGCUUGAUCGAGGUUCCCCGUUAGUCUGAAGCUGGGGUUCGACGUUAAGAGACCCCCCGUGACCGAUGGACAUCUCCAGCUUUGCUCUGAAAGGGAACUUCGUCGGGGCUCUUUGGAAAUGGGGUUGUGGACCUCAAGUCCUUCUUUUGACACCUGUCUGUCACCCCAAUAUGUCAUCGCUUAGAUCACUUUUCCAGCACGAAAGGUGAUGUAAUUGAUGGGAAGAUUAUUUGGAAUACAGGGUGGGAUGUGCAGGAUGAUCCUUCCCCGCUGUCCUGACAACAGCAGCAUGGGAUUUGUCGACACCUGGUCUGGGUGCUUUUCUCUCUGACGCCGUGUUUUGACUGCAGCUGUUGCAGGAUCCGGUUGUUGAAAAGAAAUGUUGGUUUCUGUGAAAGUGCUUUUUAUUUAGAAACUCUAGCGUGCAUCCUAGCUGUUGAGAGGCAGCGUUGGGUACAGAUGUUUAUCCCUCAUGAACAGACAAGUGGACUGUGCAAGAAUUGGCAUUUUUAAUAAAUGAAAUUGUGUACUUGGUUGUUUUUGUCUUGACUUGUAGGAGUGUGUCUGCCUGCUGUUGUGUGCUCGUUGGAACUGAAAUUUUCAAAUCAACGCCUCUCCGAUAUUUGAGUGGCUAGCAGGCACUGAUUUAACUACACUAGCGAUGUGUUUGGAAGUUUAGAGAGUUUUUAGUUGUUAUGAUGCAGAU